AUUGAACGCUGGCGGCAGGCCUAACACAUGCAAGUCGAGCGGAUGAAGGGAGCUUGCUCCUGGAUUCAGCGGCGGACGGGUGAGUAAUGCCUAGGAAUCUGCCUGGUAGUGGGGGAUAACGUCCGGAAACGGGCGCUAAUACCGCAUACGUCCUGAGGGAGAAAGUGGGGGAUCUUCGGACCUCACGCUAUCAGAUGAGCCUAGGUCGGAUUAGCUAGUUGGUGGGGUAAAGGCCUACCAAGGCGACGAUCCGUAACUGGUCUGAGAGGAUGAUCAGUCACACUGGGACUGAGACACGGUCCAGACUCCUACGGGAGGCAGCAGUGGGGAAUAUUGGACGAUGGGCGAAAGCCUGAUCCAGCCAUGCCGCGUGUGUGAAGAAGGUCUUCGGAUUGUAAAGCACUUUAAGUUGGGAGGAAGGGCAGUAAGUUAAUACCUUGCUGUUUUGACGUUACCAACAGAAUAAGCACCGGCUAACUUCGUGC
rnacentral:rRNA from 1 species